UUCUCUCCUUGCUCUAAAGCCUUCUCUUAGCAUGCAAGACGCUUUCAAGACGAGGCCAUAAGAGAGAGGGAGAGAGAGGAAGAAGCGUGUAUUACAAGAAACCUAUGAGAAGGUAUAAAUACAAAAGAAUAACACACUCUAAAACAACCAUUGUUGUGUUCCAUUUAAAACCCUCACCAGCGAUCUAACUCUAUUCUCGGAACUUUUUUCUUUUCUUCCAGUAAUCAGGUUUGGUGGCUUACCAAAGCUUUCGCUU